CCAGAGGAUCGGGCGAUCGCCGCGGCGGCUUUAUGGCUUCCGGGGAGGAAAGUCCGGGCUCCAAGGAGUGACGGUGCCGGGUAACGCCCGGCGGGGGCGACCCCAGGGACAGUGCCACAGAAAGCAGACCGCCCGGCGGCCCUCACGGGUCCGGGUAAGGUCGAAAGGGUGCGGCAAGAGCGCACCGCGGGCCCGGUAACGGGAACGGCAUGGUAAACCCCACCGGGAGCAAGAUCGAAUAGGGACGGCAUAUGGGCUACUCCGCCCGGUCGUCCGGGUUGAUUGCUGGAGGCCGUGUGCGAGCGCGGUCCUAGAGGAAUGAUCGCCCAUCCGCCCUCGGGCGGUGGACAAAACCCGGCUUACAGAUCCUCUGGCGCU
rnacentral:RNase_P_RNA from 1 species